CUAACUCAAAAUGAGGAGAUUGCCUGCUGUGGUCCAUUACACUCCAGAAAGAACAAGAAAGAGUGUCUGAAUGAAAAGUAUAAACCAUGUCAACACAAGUCUACAAACCCCAUCCGAGUCCCUGAAACCCAGAGUGUGCAAUAUCCUUUCUCCAGCUUCCAGCUACUCAUGGGAAUGGUACAAAAGGAGCAACAGCCACAACAAAAACCUCCCCAACAUGCAGAGAACAAAUUCACACUGAUAAAAGUGAAAAAUGGGCUCAAGAGGACACAAUUGCCUGGCUCGGAGGGAGGAGCUGCUAAAACACAAAAGGCUCAUAAACACCAGUACCGGGGAAGAAUGACAUGGAAGGGAGAACACUGAUGAUGGAUUAAGGACAAGAUCUUUUUCUCAAAACAGGAGGACCUGCUGGAUAGGAGCACACAGCACAGGCACUUCCACCAUGAGAAGGAAGGUCUGUGCUUUUAUUGAAGUUCCCUUCAGAGUGCCUACAGAAAACACAACUCA